ACCUGGACCGUGCCUUGCAGACACAUCCACAGUGUUACAGAGAUACACACGGAGUCCCAAACAGAUAGAGAAGAGAGUGUCUGCAGGACAGCAGCAGCAGACAGUGGCACAGACACAUAGCAGGCCUUGGACGGGCAGUGCCGGCGAGGUCACCAUGGCAUGGAAGCCCCUCAGGGACUUCAGAGGCUGGCCUUGGAUAGGGAGCGGUGUGGAAUGGAGGGGCCCAAGAUCACCCCCUCGGCCUCCCCAACACCCCCCUGGCCAUGAGCAAGGAUAGCUUGGAGAUGGCAUCACCUUGGACCUGGACUACCUGCUUGCUACUUAGAGGACUCAGCUGAGCCCCCUCCCA
rnacentral:lncRNA from 10 species